rnacentral:rRNA from 1 species
AGCAGCCGCGGUAAUUCCAGCUCCAAUAGCGUAUAUUAAAGUUGUUGCAGUUAAAAAGCUCGUAGUUGAAUUUCGGGAUCAAUAUAUCGGUCGUGCCAUUGGUACGUACUGGUAUCAUUGGUUUCUCCUUUCUGACGAACCAUGAUGUCAUUAAUUUGGUGUUAUGGGAAGUUAGGACUGUUACUUUGAAAAAAUUAGAGUGUUUAAAGCAGGCUUUAGCUUGAAUACAUUAGCAUGGAAUAAUGAAAUAGGACGUUCGAACCUAUUUUGUUGGUUUCUAGGAUCAACGUAAUGAUUAAUAGGGAUAGUUGGGGGCAUUAGUAUUCAAUUGUCAGAGGUGAAAUUCUUGGAUUUAUUGAAGACUAACUACUGCGAAAGCAUUUGCCAAGGAUGUUUUCAUUAAUCAAGAACGAAAGUUAGGGGACCGAAGACGAUCAGAUACCGUCGUAGUCUUAACCAUAAACUAUGCCGACUAGGGAUCGGAUGAUGUUAAUUUUUUAAUGACUCAUUCGGCGCCUUA